UACAUAAUGUCUCUCUCUCUAUCUCUAUAUAUUAUAUAUAUAAUAUGUACAUUAUGCAGUGGACCCAUAAUGGGAAAUCCAAGUGGCUAAUUUUUUAAUUAAAUAAAAACCCUUUUAACUCAGUGGUAGAGUAAUGCCAUGGUAAGGCAUAAGUCAUCGGUUCAAAUCCGAUAAAGGGCUUUUUAAAUUAGUGGUAGAGUAAUCUCGUGCUAAGACGUAAGUCGUUGGUUUGAAUCUGAUAGAGUACUUUUCUACUAAAUUGAUUCACUUUUUUUCUUUGUUUUUGAAACUUUCUCUAUAUUUUUAGAGAAUUUUAUGACUUAGUGCGGGAUGGAUACCAAAGUUUCAGAAUUUACGCUCUAUUCAUUCAAUAUUUCCCUUUUUUGAAGACAAAUUUUUGCAUUUGGAUUAUCUAUCACAUAUAGAAAUACCCUAUCCUAUCCAUUUGGAAAUCCUGGUUCAACUCCUUCAAUACCAUAUCCAAGAUGUUCCAUCUUUGCAUUUAUUGUGAUUCUUUCUCAACUACUAUUCGAAUUGGAAUAGUUUUAUUACUUCAAUGAAAUCCUUUUUUUCAAAAAGAAAAUAAAAGACUAUUUCAAUUCCUAUAUAACUCUUAUGUAUCAGAAUAUGAAUUUUUUUUGUUGUUUCUUCGUAAACAAUCUUCUUGCUUACCAUUAGCAUCUUCUGGAACUUUUCUGGAACGAAUCCACUUUUCUAGGAAGAUGGAAAUUACACAAGGAAUCCUGGUCUCAAAGAAGAGGGAAAUGGGGAUAUGGCGAAAUCGGUAGACGCUACGGACUUGAUUGUAUUGAGCCUUGGUAUGGAAACCUGCUAAGUGGUAACUUCCAAAUUCAGAGAAACCCUGGAAUUAAAAAAGGGCAAUCCUGAGCCAAAUCUGUGUUUUGAGAAAACAAGGGGUUCUCGAACUAGAAUACAAAGGAAAAGGAUCCAAUGCCCCGAAAACCCAAGGUUUCCUCCGCAAGGUUCGUCCACGGAGGGUGAGUCAGGGCCUAAGAUCAGGCCGAAAGGCGUAGUCGAUGGACAACAGGUCAAUAUUCCUGUACUACCCCUUGUUGGUACGGAGGGACGGAGGAGGCUAGGUUAGCCGAAAGAUGGUUAUAGGUUUAAGGACACAAGGUGACCCUGCUUUUUCAGGGUAAGAAGGGGUAGAGAAAAUGCCUCGAGCCGAGGUCCGAGUACCAAGCGCUGCAGCGCUGAAGUAUGAGCCCCGUGGACUAGCGAUUGCUUCUCCACGAGGCUCAUACCAGGCGCUACGGUGCUGAAGUAUGUAACUGAUGCCAUACUCCCAGGAAAAGCUCGAACGACCUUCAACAAAAGGGUACCUGUACCCGAAACCGACAUAGGUGGGUAGGUAGAGAAUACCUAGGGGCACGAGACAACUCUCUCUAAGGAACUCGGCAAAAUAGCCCCGUAACUUCGGGAGAAGGGGGGAAUAAGGCUUGCUAUUAUUAGAAAUGUCCAAAAAAUAUCAUAUUCGUGAAGCAGACUAGGCGGACUGGUCCGAGUGAAGAGAAAAAAAAGCCAGAAGGAAUCAUUGAGUGAAAAAGGAGCAAAGAAUGACAAAAGAUGAGACUCUACUAGUCUUCACUCUUGUGGUUUUUUAUGGAUCCUCUUAUGCAUUAUGUUCGAUAUCAAGGAAAGGCAAUUCUUGCAUCAAAAGGCACUGUUUUUUUGAAGAAGAAAUGGAAAUGAUACCUUAUCAAUUUAUCUUUGAUUUGUGAAAUCCUUGGGUUUAGACAUUACUUCGGGAAUUCCUAUUUUUUUCUUUCAAAAGAGUAGCAACAUACCCUUUUUUCUUAUUUCCUUCGAUAAAGCAUUUAUCUCUUCUAUAGAAAUCUAAUAAGAGGGAUUGAUUCUGAUAUACUUUUAUUGGACUUUCUUCUUAUUUGAACCUUUCGAUUUAUUUCUAUAUUAAGGAUAGACUGACAAAGUUGGCCUAAUUUAUUAGUUUUCACUAACCCUAGAUUAUUUCCCUUGAUAAAAAAAAUUAUGUCCUCUCGAGCUCCAUCGUGUACUAUGUUACUUAAACCCAGCGCAAAUUUGGUUCGGAACGAAUAGAACAGGCUAUGUCGAACCAAGAGCAUUUUCAUUACUAUGGAAAAUGAUGGAUAGCAAAAUCCACAAUCGAUCAUGUCCUUCAAGUCGCACGUUGCUUUCUACCACAUCGUUUUAAACGAAGUUUUACCAUAACAAACAUUCCUCUUUUCAUUGCAAAGUGGUAUAGAGAAUUGAUCCAAUAUGUAUGGAAUCAUGAAUAGUCAUUGGUUUAGUUUUUUUAUACUAAUUAAAACUUGCUAUCUAUGGAGCAAUAUGGAUAAAAGAAAGUAAGUAUUUAUCUGGGAAGCCUCCGCCAAGAUCCAAUUUAUUUAAACCCAUAUUAAAAUUCUAUCAUAUGAGUGAAACAUAGUUUGAAAAAGACGACUAAACAAGUUUGCUUAAAACUUAUUUAUUCUUAAAUUUCCACCCUCAACGGAUGGCU
rnacentral:lncRNA from 1 species